rnacentral:rRNA from 1 species
UUGGAGGGCAAGUCUGGUGCCAGCAGCCGCGGUAAUUCCAGCUCCAAUAGCGUAUAUUAAAGUUGUUGCAGUUAAAAAGCUCGUAGUUGAAUUUCGGGAUUGACGUAAUGGUCGUGCCUUAAGGGGUAUGAACUGUUACUGUUGAUUUCUCACCUUCUGGAGAAACUUGAUGUCCUUAAUUGGGUGUCUUGCGGAUCCAGGACCUUUACCUUGAAAAAAUUAGAGUGUUUAAAGCAGGCAUUUUUGCUCGAAUGCAUUAGCAUGGAAUAAUAGAAUAGGACGGCAUGGUUCUAUUUUGUUGGUUUCUAGGAUCACCGUAAUGAUUAAUAGGGAUAGUUGGGGGCAUUAGUAUUCAAUUGUCAGAGGUGAAAUUCUUGGAUUUAUUGAAGACUAACUACUGCGAAAGCAUUUGCCAAGGAUGUUUUCAUUAAUCAAGAACGAAAGUUAGGGGAUCGAAGACGAUCAGAUACCGUCGUAGUCUUAACCAUAAACUAUGCCGACUAGGAAUCAGACGAUGUUAAUUUUUUAAUGACUCGUUUGGCACCUUACGGGAAACCAAAGUGUUUGGGUUC